UAGGGAAUCUUCGGCAAUGGGGGGAACCCUGACCGAGCAACGCCGCGUGAGUGAAGAAGGUUUUCGGAUCGUAAAGCUCUGUUGUUAAGGAAGAACGAGUGUGAGAAUGGAAAGUUCAUGCUGUGACGGUACUUAACCAGAAAGGGACGGCUAACUACGUGCCAGCAGCCGCGGUAAUACGUAGGUCCCGAGCGUUGUCCGGAUUUAUUGGGCGUAAAGCGAGCGCAGGCGGUUAGAAAAGUCUGAAGUGAAAGGCAGUGGCUCAACCAUUGUAGGCUUUGGAAACUGUUUAACUUGAGUGCAGAAGGGGAGAGUGGAAUUCCAUGUGUAGCGAUGAAAUGCGUAGAUAUAUGGAGGAACACCGGUGGCGAAAGCGGCUCUCUGGUCUGUAACUGACGCUGAGGCUCGAAAGCGUGGGGAGCGAACAGG
rnacentral:rRNA from 2 species